UACAGAGGUCUCAAGCGUUGUUCGGAUUCAUUGGGCGUAAAGGGUGCGUAGGCGGCGCGGUAAGUCGGGUGUGAAAUCUCGGGGCUUAACUCCGAAACUGCAUUCGAUACUGCCGUGCUUGAGGACUGGAGAGGAGACUGGAAUUUACGGUGUAGCGGUGAAAUGCGUAGAUAUCGUAAGGAAGACCAGUGGCGAAAGGCGGGUCUCGUGGACAGUUCCUGACGCUGAGGCACGAAGGCCCAGGGGGAGCAAACAGG
rnacentral:rRNA from 1 species